rnacentral:rRNA from 1 species
UACGUAGGGUGCAAGCGUUAAUCGGAAUUACUGGGUGUAAAGCGUGCGCAGGCGGUUUUGUAAGUUUGUCGUGAAAGCCCCGGGCUCAACCUGGGAAUUGCGAUGAAGACUGCAAGGCUUGAAUCUGGCAGAGGGGGGUAGAAUUCCACGUGUAGCAGUGAAAUGCGUAGAGAUGUGGAGGAACACCGAUGGCGAAGGCAGCCCCCCUGGGUCAAGAUUGACGCUCAUGCACGAAAGCGUGGGGAGCAAACAGG